UUCCGGUUGAUCCUGCCGGAGGCCAUUGCUAUUGGAGUCCGAUUUAGCCAUGCUAGUCGCACGGGUUUAGACCCGUGGCGAACAGCUCAGUAACACGUGGCCAAGCUACCCUCUGGACUGGAACACUCUCGGGAAACUGAGGCUAAUUCCAGAUAUGGCUUCCACCCUGGAAUGGGGGAAGCCGAAAACGCUCCGGCGCCAGAGGAUGCGGCUGCGGCCGAUUAGGUAGACGGUGGGGUAACGGCCCACCGUGCCGAUAAUCGGUACGGGUCAUGAGAGUGAGAGCCCGGAGACGGUAUCUGAGACAAGAUACCGGGCCCUACGGGGCGCAGCAGGCGCGAAACCUUUACACUGCGCGACAGCGCGAUAGGGGGACUCCAAGUGCGAGGGCAUAUCGUCCUCGCUUUUCUGUACCGUUAGGUAGGUACAGGAAUA
rnacentral:rRNA from 1 species